UACGAAGGGGGCUAGCGUUGCUCGGAAUCACUGGGCGUAAAGGGUGCGUAGGUGGAAUGGUAAGUCAGUGGUGAAAUCUCCAAGCUUAACUUGGAACUGCCGUUGAUACUAUCAUUCUUGAAUAUCGUGGAGGUAAGCGGAAUACGUCAUGUAGCGGUGAAAUGCUUAGAUAUGACAUAGAACACCGAUUGCGAAGGCAGCUUGCUACACGAUCAUUGACACUGAGGCACGAAAGCGUGGGGAUCAAACAGG
rnacentral:rRNA from 1 species